rnacentral:tRNA from 1 species
GCCCCUGUGGCGGAACGGUAGACGCGGCAGACUCAAAAUCUGUUGCCCUUGCGGGCGUGCUGGUUCAAGUCCGGCCAGGGGCACCA